GAUGAACGCUGGCGGCGUGCUUAACACAUGCAAGUCGAACGGAAAGGCUCCUGCUUGCAGGGGUACUCGAGUGGCGAACGGGUGAGUAACACGUGGGUGAUCUGCCCUGCACUUCGGGAUAAGCCUGGGAAACUGGGUCUAAUACCGGAUAGGACGAUGGUUUGGAUGCCAUUGUGGAAAGUUUUUCGGUGUGGGAUGAGCUCGCGGCCUAUCAGCUUGUUGGUUGGGUAAUGGCCUACCAAGGCGUCGACGGGUAGCCGGCCUGAGAGGGUGUACGGCCACAUUGGGCCUGAGAUACGGCCCAGACUCCUACGGGAGGCAGCAGUGGGGAAUAUUGCACAAUGGGCGCAAGCCUGAUGCAGCGAGGCCGCGUGGGGGAUGACGGCCUUCGGGUUGUAAACUCCUUUCGCUAGGGACGAAGCGCAAGUGACGGUACCUGGAGAAGAAGCACCGGCUAACUACGUG
rnacentral:rRNA from 1 species